rnacentral:sRNA from 1 species
UUUCCGGGGAUUCGGUCAAGACCAUCGCCAAGCUAUGGGACAGUAAGAUGUUUGCUGAGAUUAUGAUGAAGAUUGAGGAGUAUAUCAGCAAGCAAGCCAAAGCUUCAGAAGGUGCUUCCUCCCACUGUGUACCCCUCCCCAUCUCCUGUCUCUCCUGCCAGGCCCCCUGGCUCCCUGGCUGCUUGUGGCUGGGUAUAUCUCCCUCUCAGCCUUUUCUAGAGCCUUCUUUUUUUUGUUGUUUCUCCCCAACCCGUUCCCUUUUCCACUAAAUAUAUAUUGCAUUGUAAAGC